rnacentral:rRNA from 1 species
AUUAGUCUUUUAAUUGGAGACUGGUAUGAAUGGCUUAACGAGAAAUUAACUUUUUUUACUAUAUAAUUUGAACUUAAUCUUUUAGUGAAAAAGCUAAAAUGUUUCAGAAAGACGAGAAGACCCUAUAGAGUUUUAUAUUUAUUUAAAUUUUUUCUUAAUAGAUUUUUAAAGUACAAAUUUAAUAAAAUAUUUUGUUGGGGCGACAUUAAGAUAUAUAAAACUCUUUAUUUUUUAAAUUUUUAUGAAAAUAUUUACAUGAUCCUCUAUAAGGGAUCAAAAGAAAAAAUUACCUUAGGGAUAACAGCGUAAUCUUUUUUAAGAGUUCUAAUCGACAAAAAGGUUUGCGACCUCGAUGUUGGACUAAAAUUUAGGCAGGGUGCAGCAGUUCUGCUUUUAGGUCUGUUCGACCUAUAAUAUUUUACACGAUCUGAGUUCAGACCGGCGUAAG